rnacentral:rRNA from 1 species
GUGGGGAAUAUUGGACAAUGGGCGAAAGCCUGAUCCAGCCAUGCCGCGUGUGUGAAGAAGGUCUUCGGAUUGUAAAGCACUUUAAGUUGGGAGGAAGGGCAGUAAGUUAAUACCUUGCUGUUUUGACGUUACCGACAGAAUAAGCACCGGCUAACUUCGUGCCAGAGCCGCGGUAAUACGAAGGGUGCAAGCGUUAAUCGGAAUUACUGGGCGUAAAGCGCGCGUAGGUGGUUUUGUAAGUUGGAGGUGAAAUCCCCGGGCUCAACCUGGGAACUGCCUCCAAAACUGCAUGACUAGAGUACGGUAGAGGGUAGUGGAAUUUCCUGUGUAGCGGUGAAAUGCGUAGAUAUAGGAAGGAACACCAGUGGCGAAGGCGACUACCUGGACUGAUACUGACACUGAGGUGCGAAAGCGUGGGGAGCAAACAGGAUUAGAUACCCCUGUAGUCC